CAGUAGCCGCGGGAAUACGUAGGGUGCAAGCGUUAAUCGGAAUUACUGGGCGUAAAGGGCUCGCAGGCGGUUUCUUAAGUCUGAUGUGAAAGCCCCCGGCUCAACCGGGGAGGGUCAUUGGAAACUGGGAAACUUGAGUGCAGAAGAGGAGAGUGGAAUUCCACGUGUAGCGGUGAAAUGCGUAGAGAUGUGGAGGAACACCAGUGGCGAAGGCGACUCUCUGGUCUGUAACUGACGCUGAGGAGCGAAAGCGUGGGGAGCGAACAGGAUUAGAUACCCCAGUAGUCCCUGUCUCUUAUAC
rnacentral:rRNA from 1 species